rnacentral:rRNA from 1 species
AUUGAACGCUGGCGGCAGGCCUAACACAUGCAAGUCGAACGAGAGGAGGACGGGUGAGUAAUGGCUGGGAAACUGCCUGAUGGAGGGGGAUAACUAAUGGAAACGGUAGCUAAUACUGCAUAACAACCAGUGUGCCCUGCUGGGAUUAGCUUGUUGGUGGGGUAACGGCACACCAAGGCGACGAUCCCUAGCUGGUCUGAGAGGAUGACCGGCCACACUGGAACUGAGACACGGUCCAGACUCCUACGGGAGGCAGCAUUGGGGAAUAUUGCACAAUGGGCGCAAGCCUGAUGCAGCCAUGCCGCGUGUAUGAAGAAGGCCGUCGGGUUGUAAAGUACUUUCAGCGGGGAUGCGUUACCCGCAGAAGAAGCACCGGCUAACUCCGUGCCAGCAGCCGCGGUAAUAC